rnacentral:sRNA from 1 species
AAUUUACGAUCUCAAUGGCAACCGUAUAAGCCAUUCUCAGAAAGAUAAAAACAGGUUCAAAUUCUUCUUCUUCUCUCCUUUCUCAUAACCUUAAAUCCUCCAUUCUUUCAUCUAAAUACGUCUAACAGAGAAACGAAAGUAUGACGUAAAUAAUGAAAGUUGAGACUUUUGUGAUGCCUAAUGUGAUGGACGCUGUUAACUCCUCACGACACACUGAGUUUGGUCCACCUAAUCGCUGCUGCUCGACAAAAUGACCACAUAAGUUUACGAGAAUCGUAUAGAAACAAAAUGGAUGCAAAUGUUUUGGGGCUUUCAAUUCAAAAGAAGAAGAAGAUAACCAAUUUGAGAGAUGGGUGGCAUGACAUGGCAUCUUCUUCUACGGUUUAGUGUGUAAAAUAAUUUAAAUGUGAAAGCAUCUUAUAUAUUUCGAGUUAAAAAAAGCGUUUUGAUUAGAAGGUAAUUCAUUUC